rnacentral:rRNA from 1 species
GAUGAACGCUAGCUACAGGCUUAACACAUGCAAGUCGAACGAAGCACCUUGACUGAGACCUUCGGGUGGAUUUUGAGGUGACUGAGUGGCGGACGGGUGAGUAACGCGUGGGUAACCUGCCUUACAGAGGGGGAUAACAGUUGGAAACGGCUGCUAAUACCGCAUAAGCGCACAGGGUCGCAUGACCCAGUGUGAAAAACUCAGGUGCUGUAAGAUGGACCCGCGUUGGAUUAGCUAGUUGGCAGGGUAACGCCUACCAAGGCGACGAUCCAUAGCCGGCCUGAGAGGGUGACCGGCCACAUUGGGACUGAGACACGGGCCCAAACUCCUACGGGAGCAGCAGUGGGAAUAUGCACAAUGGGCAAAGCCUGAUGCAGCAACGCCGCGUGAAGGACGAAGUAUUUCAGUAU